AGCUGAUUGGGGUGAAGUCGUAACAAGGUAGCCGUAUCGGAAGGUGCGGCUGGAUCACCUCCUUUCUAAGGAG
rnacentral:rRNA from 1 species